AUUGAACGCUGGCGGCAGGCUUAACACGUGCAAGUCGAGCGGGGUGAUGGUGCUUGCACUAUCACUUAGCGGCGGACGGGUGAGUAAUGCUUAGGAAUCUGCCUAUUAGUGGGGGACAACAUUUCGAAAGGAAUGCUAAUACCGCAUACGUCCUACGGGAGAAAGCAGGGGAUCUUCGGACCUUGCGCUAAUAGAUGAGCCUAAGUCGGAUUAGCUAGUUGGUGGGGUAAAGGCCUACCAAGGCGACGAUCUGUAGCGGGUCUGAGAGGAUGAUCCGCCACACUGGGACUGAGACACGGACCAGACUCCUACGGGAGGCAGCAGUGGGGAAUAGUGGACAAUGGGCGGAAGCCUGAUCCAGCCAUGCCGCGUGUGUGAAGAAGGCCUUAUGGUUGUAAAGCACUUUAAGCGAGGAGGAGGCUACUUUAGUUAAUACCUAGAGAUAGUGGACGUUACUCGCAGAAUAAGCACCGGCUAACUCUGUGCCAGCCGCCGCGGUAA
rnacentral:rRNA from 1 species